rnacentral:rRNA from 1 species
UACGUAGGGUGCGAGCGUUAAUCGGAAUUACUGGGCGUAAAGCGCGCGCAGGCGGUUCUGCAAGUCAGGUGUGAAAUCCCCGGGCUCAACCUGGGAAUGGCAUUUGGGACUGCAAGGCUGGAGUGCGGCAGAGGAGACUGGAAUUCCUGGUGUAGCAGUGAAAUGCGUAGAUAUCAGGAGGAAUACCGAUGGCGAAGGCAGGUCUCUGGGCUGACACUGACGCUCAUGCACGAAAGCGUGGGGAGCAAACAGG